rnacentral:rRNA from 1 species
GACGAACGCUGGCGGCGUGCCUAAUACAUGCAAGUAGAACGCUGAAGGAGGAGCUUGCUUCUCUGGAUGAGUUGCGAACGGGUGAGUAACGCGUAGGUAACCUGCCUGGUAGCGGGGGAUAACUAUUGGAAACGAUAGCUAAUACCGCAUAAUAGUAGAUGUUGCAUGACAUUUGCUUAAAAGUUGCAAUUGCAUCACUACCAGAUGGACCUGCGUUGUAUUAGCUAGUUGGUGGGGUAACGGCUCACCAAGGCGACGAUACAUAGCCGACCUGAGAGGGUGAUCGGCCAAACUGGGACUGGGAAACGGCCCAGACUCCUACGGGAGGCAGCAGUAGGGAAUCUUCGGAAAUGGACGGAAGUCUGGCCGAGCAAAGCCGCGUGAGUGGAGAAGGUUUUCGGAUCGUAAAGCUCUGUUGUAAGAGAAGAAAGAGUGUGAGAGUGGAAAGUUCACACUGUGACGGUAUCUUACCAGAAAGGGACGGCUAACUACGUG